GUCUCUCAUUUCAGUUAGCAAGCUUUGUGGAUUUUAGGAAUGAAGUGGUGGUGGAAACACUUAUUCUGUCGAUUCAAACAAAAUGAUCCGGACCAUAUACAAUUCAAACUGUUUGAUGCUAGCACAAACCUUUCCUUGAACCAAACACUAAAUAUGGAUCUGGAUGUGAAACUUGGGUCCCACUGAGCACAAUGAGGUGCUUUUCCGACAAAGACAAGCUUAUGUUCAUAUCUUGCAAGUCACAGAAGGAGAAGGCCGAGCAGCAAAAGAAGAGGGUGACAAUGCAUUUGAGGAAACUGGACUGGUGGCUGUGCUGUCAUCGUCAUCGGACCGCCUGAUGUUGCAAUCGUUUGCUCUUAACGAAAGCCCCAGCUCAACUCCAUGCAUGUAUCAUGUACGGCAUGGCAAACAGGAGAACCAAACUGCAAGGUGAAUGAAUUUGCAAAUUCUGCAACCUAACUUGCUCAAAAUUUAUCAACACAGGUGGAGGGCACAACUUCACUCGAAGAUGUGGGGACUUAGCUCAGUUCUGUUGGACCUACGGCUACGUUGCCAUCAACGACCGCGUGCUCUACGGGCUGUGUGCUUCAUGUCGCCCAUGAAGGUUUCCAGCAAUGCAAUGCAAUGCUACCCAGUCAAUUCCCGUACGAACUGGUGGGCGAAAUUUCUCGCAAUUCCUGAAGGAAGAGGCCUGAUGAGAAAGGAUUAAUCCAGAUGGGGUCCAGUUAUCAAACCCAAUGUCCACCAAUAUAGGAGAUCUUUUUUUUCUUAUUGCACAGGAAGGACGGAUUCAAUGCGGUGCAGGUACAAACGUGUAAUCGCUGGCAAGGAAACCAAACCGUUUUUUUUUUCUUUUUAACCUCUCGCUGUCUGUCUCUGCCUGGACGUCCUUCAC